UAAGGUGACUAUAGCACGAAGGUUCCACCUCUUCCCAUUCCGAACAGAGAAGUUAAGCUUCGUCACGCCGAUGGUACUG
rnacentral:rRNA from 1 species